CCUACGGGAGGCAGCAGUGAGGAAUAUUGGUCACUGGCCGGAAGGCUGAACCAGCCAAGCCGCGUGAAGGACGAAGGUGCCAAGCAUUGUAAACUUCUUUUAUCAAGGGAUACAAUCAGGCUCGAGAGCCUGACCGAAUGUACUUGAAGAAAAAGCAUCGGCUAACUCCGUGCCAGCAGCCGCGGUAAUACGGAGGAUGCGAGCGUUAUCCGGAUUUAUUGUGUUUAAAGGGUGCGUAGGCGGGCUGUUAAGUCAGCGGUAAAAGCUCGGGGCUAAACCCCGGCGAGCCGUUGAAACUGGCUGUAUUGAGAUGUCGAGAGGUAUGCGGAAUGCGCAGUGUAGCGGUGAAAUGCUUAGAUAUUGCGCAGAACUCCGAUUGCGAAGGCAGCAUACCGGCGGCGAUCUGACGCUGAGGCACGAAAGCGUGGGUAUCGAACAGGAUUAGAUACCCUAGUAGUC
rnacentral:rRNA from 1 species